GCCCGGCUAGCGCAAUGGUAGCGCGUAAGACUUCUAUUUCCUCUUUCCUUGUUCAAAACGAGAAAAAGCGUAGAAAGUUUAAUCUUAAGGCUGUGGGUUCGAGUCCCACGUCGGGUG